rnacentral:lncRNA from 1 species
UGGGUCAGGCUUGUGACGUUAAACAAGCGCUACCUGGGAGGCAACCCAGUUGAUUAUUUCCUGUUUUUAACUCUAUGCUAAGUGCAUUAUAUGUUUGAAUGUUGCAUUUGAGAGGGGAAAGGCAUGUAAAUGAAAAAUUGAUGGUCGAAAUCAAGUGUUACAGGGUUGGAUUACACAACUGUAAGCAAAAAAAAGAGGGAGAGAUAUUUAACGCGCACCGCUGAGCGGUUGCUGCGUAGA